CCGCACAUGGUUUUCUUUAGAAUGCGUCUGACCACGCCUAGAAAUUAUUAUAUGUAAAAUAGCUAGGUACAUAGAAAAUAAGACAAUUGAAUAAAACCAAAUGUGCGGCACUUGGGCCGCACAGUCGAGAAAGCUACACCAAACGUAGCAGUUAAUUAUCUCCAUCCGAAAGACUGAUGCAGUGACUUGUUUACAUGGCGACCUGUGACAUCGGACCGCAGUGAGGUCGUGAACGAGUGUGAAAGUGAAUUCUAAAAUGCAUUUUUUAGACCCUAGCGGUUACAUUCCGAAGAACGUAACGGUGAAACAGUUAAACUGUUGAAACAAUCGAGUGUAGUGUAGCACGAACAAGCAAGCUGCAGAAACAGAGUGAACGUUGAGUGAAAAAAAAAUUAUCGGUUUUUGUGCCUACACGGAAACACUCCCCCGUCCGAAGCACCUGAGUUGGUGUGGAUAUGCAACAAUUGCUAAUUGAGAAGAAAUAGAAGAAAAGUUAUAGUGAAAAAAAAAACAAGAUGGAUAACAUGACUCCAGCAAAUAUGACAAAUUAGUUAUCAAGUGUUACGAAGGAUUAAUUUUCCAACAUCGUGGAUUGCACGAGGAAUUAGAUGCUGGAUUAUAUGUGAGACACAUUACAUCUAGAAAGCUAAACAUGGAGAAACACACAGUUGAUGGAAAAAUCAAUUUGAUCACCGUGAAAUAGACCCGCCUGUGAUUUCGUGGUCAUCGUCCAUAACACACACAUCAUACACUACCAACACCGUGUGAAACAAUAUCACAACGGUAGAACGUUUGUUCGCACAUCAGCCUACAAAACCAGGCGCACUACAUCUCGUACAAUUUGGAUGCUGGAUUCACCUGCCAGACACCCCCCCCCCCCCCCACGGAGUCGAAUGCGAAAUCAGCAGCGAAAUCAGCAGCGAAAUCAGCAGCGAGGACAGCAACGAGGACAGCAACGAGGACAGCAGCGAGGACAGCAGCGAGGACGGCAGUGAAAUAAAGUGGACUUCUAAUAAAUCGCUUGAAAUACAGUCUCUAGAAAGAAUGCAGUGUUUCGAGAAUCCGUUCCGUAACCGCCGGAACCCUGUGGCACUAACGUCCCAGGGGAAACUUACAAUAGUGUCAGCAUGGGUUAUCCAGAUUAACACGCCUCAACUGUGUUCUGAAUGACAGAUUCAAAAAUUAUGCGUGCGUCUGUACAUAUCGGAAGCAAACCAAAAACUCCCUACUCUGAACGGGAUCGCUGGCUCUGCUAACCAGCAAACCAUGGGAUCACCCCAUUUAAAAAUAAAAUCCAAUUUGUUUCAUUUAUAAACACAUCACCCUACGAAACUAAUCAAUAACCAUACCAAUGCUGUAAAUUGAACCGUGUUAGAUUAGUAUAUAACCUGCACCACUUCCCACUGUUAGUUAUCGCUAGUGAAAAUGAAACUACUUCUUCUCGUGUUCCUAGUUUUGGUAACGGCCUGGCAAAUAAUGGCCAAGGCCAUUGAUAAUCGUCCAAGAGUCCAAGAAGAAUCGCAAAUCGUCCAUGCGAAAAUCUGCCCCGGUUGGAUUCAAUGUUGGCGAAUCAAGAAAAAUAAAAAUUGAUGUAAUUCAGUCCAAAAUUUUCAAAGAAAAACAUUAUACUUAAUAUAAAAAAAUUCAUCUCACCUCAGCACAAUGAAGUACAAAUAUUUGAAAUACCAUCAAUGAUCGUCCAAUAGGGGCAGAAAUGCUGGUAAGCUGACUCUGGUGAAACGAUCGCCCCAAAUGGAGGCAUGCAUGAUGAACCCAUUCUGCAGACAACAACAUUGGGAAGUAAAUAUCGCACCGUAUUUAGACAAAUCAGCAAGCGUUCAAUUCAGUUUAAUACAGUGUUUUUCAAUAUACCAUGCGAAGCUGUUACAUGUGGUGAUGAUAAAUGCGAAUGUGUUGAAAUUUUGGAAUAAAAACUUAAUAUUAUAAAGAA